rnacentral:tRNA from 1 species
GGGGUUGCAGCUCAGCGGUAGAGUACUCACCUAGCAUGUGUGAGGCCCUGGGUUCGAUCCUCAGCACCACA